ensembl:lncRNA
AUGCCACCCUCUCCCUGUACCCUGCCCCAGACCUGGCACCAAAGAAUACUUAAAGGCCACCUUCUACCCUCAAGACUAGGAGAGAGCAUAAGCGAAAAAAAGGGAAAAGAGGAAGAACCCAGACAGCACCCCUUCCCCAAGUCUGCAAUCAGGAAGAACCUGGCUGAGGACCUGAGCGGGGGAGGGGGGAGCAGUGAGGAUUCAGGAACGAUAGAGGUCCCAGGUCUUCCUCCCUGACCGGCAGUGAGCUCAGAGUGGUAUCAAGAUGACAGUAAGAGAGGGAGAGUGAGAGCAGCAGGCGCAGACUUACGCAACCCGGUGGAAAGUGAUACAGGCGGACUUGCUGACUGGAAACAAACAGAAAAGGAGCCAGGCAGAGCUUCCUGGAAUCCAGGUCUAGGGGCUGCCAAAAAACGAGGCUCUUCUCUUCGGAACAAUUGAAUGUCACUGGGGUAACUGAACACUGCUGGCGAGAGAGGCCUCCUGCCCACAGCCUCACAGAGCAGCCUGUGUGAGCGAGGCCGGGCUCCAGAGGAAAAAAGGGCCUGGCGAGGUGCCCCGUGGGGCCAUCUGAGGAGACACUGCCGUCCCUCACGCUGGACCAGCUUCAGCUGUAACUGGGCCGACAGGCCAUAGGCUAGGGGAUCCCCAGAGCGAGCCUCAAGCACAGCUAACGAGCACAGCUCUAGCCCAGUGGUCAGGCCCUGAACUCGGGAGGCAGGAUGCUUGGGUUCCAAGAUGAGCUUUUCCUGCUGCAUAAUCCUGGGCAUAACCCUCUCAUUCUUCUCCUUAAAAGAAAGGGAAAUGAAAUGGGAUGGUAGAUCAAAAUGUGAUUCGUACAAAGGAGAUAAAAAUGUUAUGACUCAAAUAAGAUACAUUUAGUCACAUUUACUUUCACGGUGAUAGUUCUAGGCAUGGUCUGUUUUAACUCAUUUCAUCUUUUUUGAGAAUGCUCUGUAGUGAGGACUAUUAUUAUACCCAUUUUACAGAAAAGAAAAGUGAAGCCCUUAGGUGUCAAGUAAAUUGACUAAGAGUGUAUGCUUAGUAAACAGCAGAGUCAGGAUUUGAACUCAAGAGAAUCUGAUUCCAGAGCCUAUGACCUUACCCAUUACCCUGUAAUAUAUAUAAUUACAGCUUUUCUUUGCACUAUUUUUUAUAUCAUACUUGAUUGGAUCCCUGCUUGGGAACAUUUAAGUUGUCUCCAGUUUUAACUCUCCAUGUUGUCAAGCACAUCUUCAGUUCUUAAAAAUAAAUCUUUGGGUGUUCCCAUUGCAGCUCAGCGGCAAUGAACCCAACGAGUGUCCAUGAGCACUCAGGUUUGAUCGCUGGCCCCACUCAGUGGAUUAAGGAUCUGUCCUUGCCGUGAGCUGUGGUGUAGCUCACAGACAUGGCUUGGAUAUGGCAUUGCUGUGGCUGUGGCUGUGGCUGUGGCCAGCAGCUGCAGCUCCAGUUCGACCCCUAGCCUGGGAAUUUCCAUAUACCACAGGUAAGGCCCUAAAAAGCAAAAAAAAAAAGAAAGAAAGAAAGAAAGAAAGAAAGAAAAAAGAAAGAAAGAAAGAAAAAAACAAACAAAAAACUCCCCAAAAAAUCUGACCUGGGAUUUGCAGUUGAAAGAGCAUAAACUUGGAGACUUUCCACAUAUGUCAUGUGGGCAGGUGGUUAUAUAUAGUCAUGUGGUUAAAGGCCAGGCUUUUUUUUUUUUUUUUUUUUGUCUUUUUGCUAUUUCUUUGGGCCGCUCCCGCGGCAUAUGGAGGUUCCCAGGCUAGGGGUCGAAUCGGAGCUGUAGCCACUGGCUUACACCAGAGCCACAGCAACGCGGGAUCUGAGCCGCGUCUGCAACAUACACCACAGCUCACGGCAACGCCAGAUCCUUAAUCCACUGAGCAAGGCCAGGGACCGAACCCGCAACCUCAUGGUUCCUAGUCGGAUUCGUUAACCACUGCGCCACGACAGGAACUCCUGG